rnacentral:lncRNA from 1 species
UUUAAUCUAAAUUUAGAUUUAAAAACAUUAAUUAAUUGUAUAAAUUUUCAUCAUUUAAUAAAUCUAAAGUAAACCUUAAAUCCUAAACCAUUUAAUAUAUAUAAAAUUGAUCUAUUAUCUCUUAAAUAAUUUAAACUAUCUCCUAAACCCCUAUCUCCUAAAUCCUAAAUCAUAAAACAUAAACCCUAGACCCCUAGCCCCCCCUUUUACAAUUAUAUAAGAACUUAAUUAAUAUAUAAAUUUAAAAAUACUAAUUAAUCUAAACCUUAAACCCUAACACGAUCUCGAAUCUCUAAACCUUAAAUCACUAACUCUUAACCCCUAACCCCAAAUCCCAAACCCCAAACCCUUAACUACUAACCCUUAAACCUUAUUUAAUAUAUAAAUUAAAAAACACUAAUUAAUCUAAACCUUAAACCCUAACCCUAACCCGAAUCCCUAACCCCUAAC